rnacentral:tRNA from 1 species
UCGGAAAUAGCUCAGCUUGGUAGAGCACCUGGUUUGGGACCAGGGGGUCGCAGAGUUCGAAUCCUGUUUUCCCGAU